CCUACGGGGGGCAGCAGUGAGGAAUAUUGGUCAAUGGACGAGAGUCUGAACCAGCCAAGUAGCGUGAAGGAUGACUGCCCUAUGGGUUGUAAACUUCUUUUAUAUGGGAAUAAAAUGUUCCACGUGUGGGAUUUUGUAUGUACCAUAUGAAUAAGGAUCGGCUAACUCCGUGCCAGCAGCCGCGGUAAUACGGAGGAUCCGAGCGUUAUCCGGAUUUAUUGGGUUUAAAGGGGGCGUAGGUGGAUUGUUAAGUAAGUUGUAAAAUUUUGGGGCUCAACCUUAAAAUGCAGUUGAAACUGGCAGUCUUGAGUACAGAAGAGGUAGGCGGAAUUCGUGGUGUAGCGGUGAAAUGCUUAGAUAUAACGAAGAACUCCGAUAGCGAAGGCAGUUCACUGGACUGCAACUGACACUGAGGCUCGAAAGUGUGGGUAUCAAACAGGAUUAGAUACCCUUGUAGUC
rnacentral:rRNA from 1 species